GGGACCACCGCCACCCCCUGUCCCUUCCCACCUCUCCUCACUCGCUCCAGCCGCUGUCGUGGCGACGCCCACCCUCUUCCUUCAUCCUCCUCCCUUCCCUUCUUCCCUUUAUUUUCCCUCCCGUCUUCUCUUUUCCUCUCUUCUCCCGUUUUCUGCCCGUCUCUCCCCUUCCCCGCUUCCAAUUCAUUCUUAGCCGAUCAUCCUUUUGCGAUCAUCUCUUUCCCCGCUCAUCCCUUUCUCCCGCUCAUCCCUUUCCCCCAUUCAUCCCCAUCCCCUAUUUCUUUCGUCUCCUCUCCCUUUUCCUCUUUCAAUUCUCUUCUCCCCUUCUCAUCUUCCUUUCCCCUUCCCUCCCUUCAUCUUUUCUUCCUCAUCCCCUUUUUCUCCGUCCUUUUCCCUCUUAUCGCCUUAACUCUCCAUCCCUUUCACUCUCCAUCCCUCUCACUCCCCCUCCCUUCUUCCUUUUCCCCUUCUCCCUCUCCCUCUCCCUCUCCCUCUCCCUCUCCGCCUCCCCCUCCCUUUCUUUCCUCCUCCCACCUUCCCUCCUCCUUUUCCUCCUUCCUCUCUUCCUGCCCAUUUCAGACUGCUCAGGUCCCCCACUUCUCUCUGGCUCCAUCUUCUAGAAUUAGGGCUCUCGGGAUGGGAGGAUUCCCGCGGGAGCCGACACUCCUCCGAUGAACCCAGCCUCUGAGCAUCGGGGGAAAGGGCAUGCGAUGCUCUGCCUUUGAGGAAUCUGCUCUUCCCUGAGAGAGUCUUCGGAAGAGAAUGGUUCCUGCCGAUCCAUCAGCCAGAAGCAUCUAGAGUUACAAAAUUUCUCCCACGAACUGCUUUGGCUGCAUCACAUACAUUUCGGUAAUUGGAACUAGCCUGAAUCACCUUGCUAUUGAAGAGAGCCACGUCCAUCAGAACUGAUCAUCAUAUAACCUUGCUGUGGCCGUGCACAGUGAUCUCCUGGCUCUGAUCAUUUCACUCGGCAUCAGUUCAUGUAAGUCUCUCCGGUCUCGCCGAAAUAUCCUGUUGGUUGUUUCUUAUAGAAUAAUAAUAUGCUGUUAUAUUCUUGUACCAUAAUUUAUUCAGCCAUUCUCCAAGUGAUACAUAGGUUCCAGUUCCCUGCCACUACAGACAGGGCUGCCACAAAUAUUUUGGCACAUGUGGGUGCUUUUCCCUUUUUUAUGAUCUCUUUGGGGUAUAAGCCCAUUAGUGACACUGUUGGAUCUAAGGGUAAGCAUAGUUUGAUCACCCUUUGAUCAAAGCUCCAGACUGUUCUCCAGAAUGGCUGGAUGUGUUCACAUUUCCACCAACAAGGCAUCAGUGUCGCAGUUUUCCCACAUCCCCUCCAACAUUCCGCAUUAUCUUUUCCUGUCAUUUUAGCCAAUCUCAGAGCUGUGUAGGGGUGUUUCAGAGUUGUCUUAAUUUGCAUAUCUCUGAUCAAUAGUGAUUUGGAACACCUUUUCAGAUGACUAGAAAUGAUUUCAAUUUCUUUAUCUGAAAAUUUGUCUGUUCAUAUCUUUUGACCAUUUAUGAAUUGGAGAAUGGCUUGAAUUCUUGUAAAUGUUAGGCAAUUAUAUAUUUGAGAAAUAUUUAUUAGAACUCUUUGUCAGACUACUUGAGUGUAGAAAAUUUUUCUGUUUAUUGUUUCCCUUCUAAUAUUGUCUUGAUUUUGUUUGUACAAAUGUUUUUAACUUAAUAUAAUCAAAAUGAUGUUUUAUAUUCAAUAAUGUACUAUAGUUCUUCUAUGUCCACAAAUGCCUUCCUUCUCCACAGAUUUGAGAGUUAACUAUACUUUGUCUUGCUCAUUUGCUUAUAAUAUCACUCUUUAUGUCUAAAUCAUGAACCUAUUUUGACCUUAUCUUAGUAUAGGGUGUUAGGUAUGGGUCAGUACCUAGUUUCUGCCAUACUAGUUUCAAAUGUUCCCAGACAAACAGAGAUACAGACAGACACACAGACACAGACAGACGAGACAGACGAAGAUACAGAUACAGACAGACACACAGAGACAGACAAAGAUACAAAUACAGACAGACGCAGAAAGACACACAGAGACAGAGAAAGAUACACAGAGACACAAAAAGACCCACAGAGACACAAAAACACUCACAGAGACACAAAAAGACACGCAGAGACAGAGAUACAGAUACAGACAGACACACAGAGACAGAGAUAAAGAAACAGACACAGAAAGACACACAGAGACAGAGAAAGACACUCAGAGACACAAAAAGACACAGAGACAGAUACAGGCAGACACACAGACACAGAGACACACAGAGACAGAGAGAGACACACAGAGACACAAAAAGACCCACAGAGACAAAAAAGACACACAGAGACACAAAAAGACACUCAGAGACA